rnacentral:rRNA from 1 species
GAUGAACGCUGGCGGCGUGCUUAACACAUGCAAGUCGAACGGAAAGGCUAGUGCUUGCACUGGUACUCGAGUGGCGAACGGGUGAGUAACACGUGGGUGAUCUGCCCUGCACUUCGGGAUAAGCCUGGGAAACUGGGUCUAAUACCGGAUAGGACCAUCGUUUAGUGUCGGUGGUGGAAAGUUUUUCGGUGUGGGAUGAGCUCGCGGCCUAUCAGCUUGUUGGAGGGGUAAUGGCCUACCAAGGCGUCGACGGGUAGCCGGCCUGAGAGGGUGUACGGCCACAUUGGGACUGAGAUACGGCCCAGACUCCUACGGGAGGCAGCAGUGGGGAAUAUUGCACAAUGGGCGCAAGCCUGAUGCAGCGACGCCGCGUGGGGGAUGACGGCCUUCGGGUUGUAAACUCCUUUCGUCAGGGACGAAGCGAAAGUGACGGUACCUGGAUAAGAAGCACCGGCUAACUACGUG